CGCCACUGUCAAUCACUCCGUCAUCAGUUAUCACUUGCAGCACCUCGGAGGCCCAUCCGCGGCUUACCAAAUCGGGCCACUGGUACUCCUCCUGCCCUAGGCCUGCAGGCCAGCUUCCUGCCAACCUGUUAGAGGAAGCUGCGGACACCAUUUCAGUCAGGCGCAUUACGCUGGGAGAGGAGUUAGCCGAGGGGAGAAGAAGCCCUGAGGACAAUGCGCGUGCGGGCUGUCGGACUGAGGGGGGCUGCCCUCUCUGCAGAGAGACGUGAAACACAGCAGCCAAGAACCAGCAGGCUUCCACCAAAAGCAAGAAGCUGAUGGUUUCCGAUCUGGAGACGUUUGGGUUUUGUAAAUCCUCAUAGUCACGGGGAAAUCAUAAGGUCUGUCGGUAUAAUUGUAUCUCACGAAAAGAAAGAAGCGUAUGUACCGUGGUUUGCAACUUUCAAGCGCCUGUGACAAAGCAGCCCGGUAGACACUGCUGGCAAGGACUUGAGGGCCUCUUUCCCAGGCUUCCUUAACAUGGUGCGUGCAACAAAGGUUGAAGAAGGUCAAUUUCAGAAAAGCUUACUGCAUUUUGACUGCACCCUACAGUCACCAAAAUCAGUGACCUAUGAGUCAUCUUGACCUAGUUGGGAACUGCUGGGGAGGAAGAUCCGGGGAGCUGAUUCCUGUCUUCUGAGCUCAGGCUCUCAGAAAGACAGGUGAAUCCUGGCACCAUGCUUCACGAGCAUGACAGGCAAACUGCCUCCCCUGCUCACCCCAGCCGAUCACACUCAAAGGCAGGGCAGCUCAUCCUCAGCAGCUCAAGUUUCUGCCUCCUUUCAUUCAAACGGUCUCCAAAACCAGGGUUGUGAAGAUUAAAUGAGAUCAUCUAUGGCGAUGCUCACUGCACGCUUGACAGCCAGAACCCAAUCAACGCUAAGUAUUUAUUAUUAAUAAUAUGGCUCGUCCUACCUUUCCAGACUUCUAUACCCCUACUUCAGUGCAUGAGCCUGAGGCUCGGAGCCUCUAUUUCCUGGAUAUGCUCAACUUCUGCAACUGCUUCACCUCACUCCCUAUCUGUUUGAGUGAACUGUGAUAGUACAAUCUGUGCCCCUAGUCUGGAGUUUUCUCCUAAAUGGGAGACUUUAGCGCCUAAAGGAUUAGUCAACAUUUACUCCUAGAUGUUUCUGUUAAGGAAAUGAAAUAUUCAAAAUUAAAUGCAUUAUUUUCCUCUG